AUACGUAGGGUGCGAGCGUUAAUCGGAAUUACUGGGCGUAAAGCGCGCGUAGGCGGCUUUGUCAGUCGGAUGUGAAAGCCCUGGGCUUAACCUGGGAAUGGCAUUCGAUACUGCAGAGCUAGAGUAUGGUAGAGGGAAGUGGAAUUUCCGGUGUAGCGGUGAAAUGCGUAGAUAUCGGAAGGGACACCAGUGGCGAAGGCGACUUCCUGGGCCAAUACUGACGCUGAGGUGCGAAAGCGUGGGGAGCAAACAGGAUUAGAAACCCCAGUAGUCC
rnacentral:rRNA from 1 species